rnacentral:rRNA from 1 species
UGACGGUACUCGAUGAAUAAGCCACGGCUAAUUCCGUGCCAGCAGCCGCGGUAAUACGGGAGUGGCAAGCGUUAUCCGGAAUUAUUGGGCGUAAAGCGUCCGCAGGCGGUUUUACAAGUCUGUCGUUAAAACGUGGAGCUCAACUCCAUUUCGGCGAUGGAAACUGUAAGACUAGAGUGUGGUAGGGGCAGAGGGAAUUCCCGGUGUAGCGGUGAAAUGCGUAGAUAUCGGGAAGAACACCAGUGGCGAAGGCGCUCUGCUGGGCCAUAACUGACGCUCAUGGACGAAAGCCAGGGGAGCGAAAGGGAUUAGAUACCCCUGUAGUCCUGGCCGUAAACGAUGAACACUAGGUGUCGGGGGAAUCGACCCCCUCGGUGUCGUAGCCAACGCGUUAAGUGUUCCGCCUGGGGAGUACGCACGCAAGUGUGAAACUCAAAGGAAUUGACGGGGGCCCGCACAAGCGGUGGAGUAUGUGGUUUAAUUCGAUGCAACGCGAAGAACCUUACCAGGGUUUGACAUCCUGCGAAUUCCUUGGAAACUUGGAAGUGCCUUCGGGAGCGCAGUGACAGGUGGUGCAUGGCUGUCGUCAGC